AUUGAACGCUGGCGGCAUGCUUUACACAUGCAAGUCGAACGGUAACAGGCCGCAAGGUGCUGACGAGUGGCGAACGGGUGAGUAAUGCAUCGGAACAUGCCCAGUCGUGGGGGAUAACUACUCGAAAGAGUAGCUAAUACCGCAUACGAUCUAUGGAUGAAAGCGGGGGACCGUAAGGCCUCGCGCGAUUGGAGCGGCCGAUGUCAGAUUAGGUAGUUGGUGGGGUAAAGGCUCACCAAGCCAACGAUCUGUAGCUGGUCUGAGAGGACAACCAGCCACACUGGGACUGAGACACGGCCCAGACUCCUACGGGAGGCAGCAGUGGGGAAUUUUGGACAAUGGGCGCAAGCCCGAUCCAGCAAUGCCGCGUGCAGGAAGAAGGCCUUCGGGUUGUAAACUGCUUUUGUACGGAACGAAACGGCUCUGGUUAAUACCCGGGGCUAAUGACGGUACCGUAAGAAUAAGCACCGGCUAACUACGUG
rnacentral:rRNA from 1 species